UACAGGGGGGGGCAAGCGUUGUUCGGAAUUACUGGGCGUAAAGGGCUCGUAGGCGGCCAACUAAGUCCGACGUGAAAUCCCCAGGCUUAACCUGGGAACUGCGUCGGAUACUGGAUGGCUUGAAUUCGGGAGAGGGAUGCAGAAUUCCAGGUGUAGCGGUGAAAUGCGUAGAUAUCUGGAGGAAUACCGGUGGCGAAGGCGGCAUCCUGGACCGACAUUGACGCUGAUGAGCGAAAGCUAGGGGAGCAAAGCGGG
rnacentral:rRNA from 1 species